UCACAAACAAACAAACAGCUCCUCAAAUGAAUAUAAAUAUUUAAUUCCAGUAAGAUUUCCAAUGUUAAAAAUAGGAAAACACAAAUUUAAAGUUCAUAUGCAAAAAUGUGUUCAAUUGUCAAAAAAAUUCUAAAACAGGAAAAGAAUAAAAGGGUUCUUAGGUAUUAACCGCAUGCGACAGUUAAUUUGAUGCACCAGGUUGGCUGGGCCACGCACCCCUGGCAGCUCUGUGCAUUCCCGGCCCCUUCCUUGCUCCUGAAGCCCAGCCAUCGCGGCAUCUUUCUGCAUUUGCUGCUUCUGAAUCCCUUUGUGUCCUCUUUUCUUGACUUCCGCUGUUAACGUCAUCUUACUAGGUUCUAAAAUACAGGAAAAUAAACAAAAGGAGGUGAGAAUGGAAGCUGAACACAAUGGACCACAUCCAGCACAGUGGAAAAUCAAGAGUCCUGAUGUGAGCACAGCAGGCUUGAGAUGUCGUCUGCCACCCAGUGAUGUUCAUGGCAGACGUAGCGGAGAGGUCCAGGUCGGAGAUGCUGAACUGAGAGGCGUGCACAAGCCGUGGGAAUGGAUGGGGCCGCUUAGUGCAGGGGUCACCAAGUCCAGCCACCUCCUGUUUCUGUAAAUAAAAUUUUAUUGGGGCCAGGCGCGGUGGCUCCCGCCUGUAAUCCCAGCACUUUGGGAGGCCGAGGCGGGCGGAUCAUGAGGUCAGGAGAUCGAGACCAUCCUGGCUAACACUGUGAAACCCCAUCCCUACUAAAAAUACAAAAAAUUAGCUGGGCGUGGUGGUGGGCACCUGUAGUCCCAGCUACUCGGGAGGCUGAG
rnacentral:lncRNA from 10 species